rnacentral:rRNA from 1 species
UACGGAGGAUGCGAGCGUUAUCCGGAUUUAUUGGGUUUAAAGGGUGCGCAGGCGGGAUCUUAAGUCAGCGGUGAAAUUUUCAGGCUCAACCUGUACACUGCCGUUGAAACUGGGAUUCUUGAGUAUAGAUGAAGUAGGCGGAAUUCGUUGUGUAGCGGUGACAUGCUUAGAUAUAACGAGGAACUCCAAUUGCGUAGGCAGCUUACUAAGCUAUAACUGACGCUCAAGCACGAAAGCGUGGGGAUCAAACAGU